CUUCUUAGAAAAGAUGAGCAGGUCAUAUGAGUGCAUUAUUAAAAAUUCUCAAAGGAUACAAUUGCCAGAAGCUCCCAGCCCAUCUCCAACUCCACAGUCUACCACCUCUCCCUCCCAACCCUCUUCUCCUCCUCAUCCUCCAGACCCUUCCACCUUUCUCCCAUCUCAUCUCAUCCCCAAAUGGACUAUGAGGAGGAGACUUACACCCUAACCCUCGUCCCUGUCCAGCCUCCAAGCACCGCCUCAGCAUCUCCCUCUCAAAAAACCAUGACUGAAAGUGUGUCUGCACAGUGCUCCUGCUCUCCCACACCUACUAUCUCCUUGACCAGUGCAACAGGUGAAGGGAAGAAAAAGAGGAAGAGAGG